rnacentral:rRNA from 1 species
UACAGAGGUCCCAAGCGUUGUUCGGAUUCACUGGGCGUAAAGGGUGCGUAGGUGGCAAGGUAAGUCGGAUGUGAAAUCUCCGAGCUCAACUCGGAAAUGGCAUUGGAAACUACCUUGCUAGAGGAUUGGAGGGGGGACUGGAAUUCUCGGUGUAGCAGUGAAAUGCGUAGAUAUCGAGAGGAACACCAGUGGCGAAGGCGAGUCCCUGGACAAUACCUGACACUGAGGCACGAAAGCUAGGGGAGCAAACAGG